AUACGGAGGGUGCAAGCGUUAAUCGGAAUUACUGGGCGUAAAGCGCACGCAGGCGGUCAAUUAAGUCAGAUGUGAAAGCCCCGAGCUUAACUUGGGAAUUGCAUCUGAAACUGGUUGGCUAGAGUCUUGUAGAGGGGGGUAGAAUUCCACGUGUAGCGGUGAAAUGCGUAGAGAUGUGGAGGAAUACCGGUGGCGAAGGCGGCCCCCUGGACAAAGACUGACGCUCAGGUGCGAAAGCGUGGGGAGCAAACAGGAUUAGAUACCCUGGUAGUCCACGCUGUAAACGAUGUCGAUUUAGAGGUUGUGGUCUUGAACCGUGGCUUCUGGAGCUAACGCGUUAAAUCGACCGCCUGGGGAGUACGGCCGCAAGGUUAAAACUCAAAUGAAUUGGCGGGG
rnacentral:rRNA from 1 species